UGGGGAAUUUUGGACAAUGGGCGAAAGCCUGAUCCAGCAAUGCCGCGUGUGUGAAGAAGGCCUUCGGGUUGUAAAGCACUUUUGUCCGGAAAGAAAUCCUUGGCUCUAAUACAGUCGGGGGAUGACGGUACCGGAAGAAUAAGCACCGGCUAACUACGUGCCAGCAGCCGCGGUAAUACGUAGGGUGCAAGCGUUAAUCGGAAUUACUGGGCGUAAAGCGUGCGCAGGCGGUUUGCUAAGACCGAUGUGAAAUCCCCGGGCUCAACCUGGGAACUGCAUUGGUGACUGGCAGGCUAGAGUAUGGCAGAGGGGGGUAGAAUUCCACGUGUAGCAGUGAAAUGCGUAGAGAUGUGGAGGAAUACCGAUGGCGAAGGCAGCCCCCUGGGCCAAUACUGACGCUUAUGCACGAAAGCGUGGGGAGCAAACAGGAUUAGAUACCCUGGUAGUCCACGCCCUAAACGAUGUCAACUAGUUGUUGGGGAUUCAUUUCCUUAGUAACGUAGCUAACGCGUGAAGUUGACCGCCUGGGGAGUACGGUCGCAAGAUUAAAACUUAAAUGAAUUGACGGGGUC
rnacentral:rRNA from 1 species